UGUCCCGGCUUCAACACGUGUUAUUGAAUGGAGAUGUGAAAACUGAGGAAACUACAUAGCCAUUUUCUCAAUUUUCACUGCUCCAUUCAGUAAGAUGUGUUCAACUCAGGCUAAUAACAAUUCUCGAGAAUUGCGGUUUCCAGUUUCCUUAGUGGGUCAUCAAUCUAGUAACCGGUGACGACGGUAGUCUUGUGCGGUCGUACGUACGUGAGUGAUGAUGUUCGAGCGGUUUGUAAAAGUUAAUGUAAAUGUUUGAAGCGUGUAUGGGUUAAAAGAACGAAAUUGUUAUUUUAAAAUGUCUGUUACAUAUAUGAUGCGCUUGAAAAUAGUUGCUUUUGUAGUUGUUUGUUUUUUGCUGUGGCAGACACUACGGCAUUUCCCUUCUUUUUCCGAGUUCUCAAAUCAGAGUUUGAGUCACCACUGGGAAACUGUGGUGCCGUCAAGAGUGCCACCAAUAAUAGUAACUGUAUUUUAUGAAGCUCUUUGUCCAGACUCAAGAAGUUUUUUUACAAAACAGUUACUACCAACUUUUGAGAAAAUUCCACAUCUUAUACAGGUUAAUUUGGUGCCAUAUGGGAAAGCCAAGACAGAGACAGUGGAAGCCGGCUACAUGUUCAGUUGUCAGCAUGGGCCAUUGGAGUGCCAGGCAAACAAGAUUCAUGCUUGUGCCAUCUCUAAGGUGACACAGCCUGAUACACAGCUGAAAUACACAACCUGCAUGAUCAGUGAUAACAUGAACCCAGAGAAGAUUGGAGAAGAGUGUGCCCAGGAGCAUGGUGUGAAAUGGAAGUCAAUAGCAGAAUGUGCAGCAGGUAGUGAAGGAGAUGAGCUGUUGAAACGUCAUGGCGACACAACCAAUGCGCUAUAUCCGAGAGUGAAUUUCAUCCCCACUGUCUUGCUGAACCAGAGCCAGGACAGCCAGCCUGCAAUACUGAAGGACCUUCUUAGAGAGGUGUGCACCCGAUUACAAGAACAGGCCUGGGCUGACCCAGGAGGGUAGCAGUACAAUAGAAAUGAAGAGGAAUGAUAUUCUAGCAAAGAUGGGGUGGGAAGAUUAACCUGAGUGGAAGACUGAAGUUGCUGAUCUCAGUGCAAUAGACUGCAGUCAGUACCAGAGUGUGGAUGAUGCCUACAGAUCAGCAUGACACAACAUACAUAUUCAUAUCCCUCCAGGUUCACAGACCCAGUCUCCAUUUUUCAGUAUUUAACCACUAGAACAACUGUACUAUUAUUAACAAUGUUUGGGUUAUUUGUUAAUGGUGCUGUCCGUAACAUACAUUUUUGAUGUAGUGGAACUGCUUACAUUUCUUCAUAUGAUUAACAGUUUUGUCCUCUCCAAGGGAAUACUUAUAUUAAAAUUGUAUGUCAUUUAUGGCAUAUAAUUACAUUGUAAAUAAUAUGCUACUUCUGAAAAAUAUGCACAUUUUAUUAAAA